rnacentral:misc_RNA from 1 species
GAUGAAGAACGUAGCGAAAUGCGAUAAGUAAUGUGAAUUGCAGAAUUCAGUGAAUCAUCGAAUCUUUGAACGCACCUUGCGCCCUUUGGCCAUUCCGAAGGGCAUGCCUGUUUGAGUAUCAUGAACACCUCAACUCUUUAUGGUUUUCCAUGAUGAGCUUGGACUCUGGGGGUUUUGCUGGCUCACAGUCGGCUCCUCUAAAAUGAAUCAGCUUACCAGUGUUUGGUGGGUAUCAUGGGUGUGAUAACUAUCUACGCUUGUGGUUUUUCCACCAGGUAACCUUCAGCAGUGGAGGUUCGCUGGAGCUCAUAGAUGUCUCUCCUCAGUGAGGACAGUCCUUUGAAUGUUUGAUCUCAAAUCAGGUAGGACUACCCGCUGAACUUAAGCAUAUCAAUAAGCGGAGGA